rnacentral:rRNA from 1 species
UACGUAGGGACCAAGCGUUGUUCGGAUUUAUCGUGGCGUAAAGGGCGCGUAGGCGGCAUGACAAGUCACUUGUGAAAUCUCCGGGCUUAACUCGGAACGGUCAAGUGAUACUGUCGCGCUAGAGUGCGGAAGGGGCAAUCAGAAUUCUUGGUGUAGCGGUGAAAUGCGUAGAUAUCAAGAGGAAUACCUGAGGUGAAGACGGGUUGCUAGGCCGACACUGACGCUGAAGCGCGAAAGCCAGGGGAGCAAACGGG